rnacentral:lncRNA from 1 species
GAAAUGAGAGACGAAAGGAAAGACCAUACUUUCCCAAGUUUAAAAGGCUCAACUUUUGAAUCUGUGAUUGGUAUAUCUUUGGCCUUAUGAGAUGAAUGAUGAGAUAAAAUGUGUGAAAAAUUAAACUUCUCUAGUGGCAAGUGUAAGUGACUCAAGAGUUAUGCUGGAGAAUGGAUCAUUGCUUCACUUCUACAGUUUAAAAAUUUGUAAAACCAACCAUGGUUACUGCAGUAUUACAUGGCUAUCAGGUUUCAAAAGUUUGAGACCCCUGCAAUGAAGGCCAUUAGAAAACAUGAAAUAUUAUUAUUACAGACAGAUGAUGGACCAUCUUGC